GAUGAAGAACGUAGCGAAAUGCGAUAAGUAAUGUGAAUUGCAGAAUUCAGUGAAUCAUCGAAUCUUUGAACGCAUCUUGCGCUCCUUGGUAUUCUGAGGAGCAUGCCUGUUUGAGUGUCAUUAAAUUCUCAACUACACUGACUUUGAAUUGGUGUGGCUUGGAUUUGGGGGGAAAAUUGUUGUGGGCUUUUUGUAUAGUCUGCUCCCCUGAAAUUGAUUAGUGGUACCUUUGUGGAACUGUCUACAGGUGUGAUAAUUAUCUACAUCUUAGACAUCUGCUGGAAUGCUGCUUUCUAAACCUUACUUGUAUUGACAAUCUUGACCUCAAAUCAGGUAGGACUACCCGCUGAACUUAAGCAUAUCAAUAAGCGGAGG
rnacentral:misc_RNA from 1 species